GUGCCAGCCGCCGCGGUAAUACGAAGGGGGCUAGCGUUGUUCGGAAUUACUGGGCAUAAAGCGUGCGCAGGCGGUUUUACAAGUCAGUGGUGAAAGCCCGGAGCUCAACUCCGGAAUUGCCAUUGAAACUGUGAAACUCGAGGACGAGAGAGGUGAGUGGAAUUCCCAGUGUAGAGGUGAAAUUCGUAGAUAUUGGGAAGAACACCGGUGGCGAAGGCGGCUCACUGGCUCGUUUCUGACGCUCAUGCACGACAGCGUGGGGAUCAAACAGGAUUAGAUACCCUGGUAGUCC
rnacentral:rRNA from 1 species